AAGUCGUAACAAGGUAACCGUAGGUGAACCUGCGGUUGGAUCAUUACUGAAAAAAAAAAGAGCCUUGAGGGGUUUUUUCUAAAGCUCCUCAAGGUAAUUCUUUUAACCCCCUUGUGAACCUAUAAACGUAUUUUGGCAGUCCUCCUAAACGGAGACUUUUUAGUCUUCUUGCUGGGACUGUCAAUACUGUGUUAAAAUACCUAGUAACUUAUGUAUAAUCAUGUCUCCAACAGAUUUAUCUUGUAAAUCGUGUUUAAAAAAAAUCAUAAACAACUUUUGACAACGGAUCUCUUGGCUCUC
rnacentral:misc_RNA from 1 species